rnacentral:tRNA from 1 species
GGAGAGGUGGCCGAGUGGCCGAAGGCAGCUGCCUGCUAAGCAGUUGACCUCGAAAGGGGUCCCUGGGUUCGAAUCCCAGCCUCUCCGCCA